rnacentral:lncRNA from 1 species
AGAGAGAGAGGAGAGGCUGAAGGUUGAGUUGAUUACCAGUAGCUCACGAUAUAAUCAUUCAUGCCUACAUAACACAGCUUUCAUAAGAACCCAAUAGGACAGAGUUCAAGGGGCCUCUGGAGAAUGCCACACCUAUAGAGGCAUGGAAGCUCUUUGCCACUUUCAUCUAUUGAUCUAUAUCCUUUGUAAUGCCUUUUAUAAGAAAUGGGCAGAUUCCAGCAGUGUUUGUGAGAAAAACUGGUGGAUACUGCAGAUUAACUAUGGACAGCCAAAUAUUGAGUAAAGUGAUGUCUACAACAGCAUCAGCUAUGCCUGAUAUGGUGUUAAUUCACAUUGUGAAGUUCCAAAAUCAGAAGAUGAUACAGAAAGUUUGCUCUUGUUGUCUGGUUUCUGAAGAAAUCGUUUACCCUAUCUGGAUAGUGUCUUAGUUCCUAUCCACAAAGUUGUGAAAUAAUCUGGAAUUAAAUGGCAACCUAAACAACACUAGAGUUGCCUGAAUUUUAGAGAGCCAUUGCUGUGUUGAUCAUUACAGCAGUCCUCAAUAGGAAAAAGAUGCCUCCCU